rnacentral:rRNA from 1 species
CGGACGAACGCUGGCGGCGUGCUUAACACAUGCAAGUCGAACGGUGACGAGGAGCUUGCUCCUCUGAUCAGUGGCGAACGGGUGAGUAACACGUGAGCAACCUGCCCCAGACUCUGGGAUAACAGUUGGAAACAGCUGCUAAUACCGGAUACGAGACGGAGAGGCAUCUCUACCGUCUGGAAAGUUUUUCGGUCUGGGAUGGACUCGCGGCCUAUCAGCUAGUUGGUGAGGUAAUGGCUCACCAAGGCGACGACGGGUAGCCGGCCUGAGAGGGCGACCGGCCACACUGGGACUGAGACACGGCCCAGACUCCUACGGGAGGCAGCAGUGGGGAAUAUUGCGCAAUGGGGGAAACCCUGACGCAGCAACGCCGCGUGAAGGAAGAAGGCCUUCGGGUUGUAAACUUUUGUCUUUGGUGACGAUAAUGACGGUAGCCAGAGAGGAAGCCACGGCUAACUACGUG